UGCUGCUGUCUUUUCUUGCGUUCUGUUCUGCCAUGCCCUGCUCUGAAGCAACACCUGCCAUCUCCCCCAGCAAGCGGCUCCGCUUUGUCCGGCUCUCAGAGCACGCCACCGCCCCGACCAAGGGGUCCGCACGGGCUGCAGGCUAUGACCUGUACAGUGCCUAUGAUUAUACACUACCACCUAUGGAGAAAGCCCUUGUGAAAACGGACAUUCAGGUAGCUCUUCCGUCUGGGUGCUAUGGAAGAGUAGCUCCCCAUUCUGGCUUGGCUGCAAAACACUUCAUCGAUGUAGGAGCUGGCGUCAUAGAUGAAGAUUACAGAGGAAAUGUGGGUGUCGUACUAUUUAAUUUUGGCAAAGAAAAGUUUCAAGUCAAAAAGGGCGAUCGGAUUGCACAGCUCAUUUGUGAACGGAUUUUUUAUCCAGAAAUAGAGGAAGUUCAGGUUUUAGAUGACACUGAAAGGGGUUCAGGAGGUUUUGGUUCCACGGGGAAGAAUUAACAUUUAUGCCAAGAAUAGAAAAUGAGGAAACGUACUUUUUUCUUAAAAAUAAAGGAUUUUUGCUUAGUGUUUUGCACAUCUGUAAACAUAAUAGCUUUAGCUUCUAAAACUGUUUGGUUCUCUUAGGAUUUAGGAAAAGAUACCUGUGUUGGGGUCCCAUAAAACCUUACUUAUGUUUUUACACAUCUGAUUGUUGUAUAAAUCUGUGUGGUGACCUAA